CUCACUUUCACUCUGGCAUUUAAGACGAAACUAGAGACUGGGCAUGAUACUUUUCUUGGCAAAGAAAGACUCAACAACAAGGUUCUUUUUCCGUAAACGACCCCAGGAAAGGCUGACAUGGAACUUACUCCGAGUGAAAUACCGUGGCAUACAGAAGGAAAAUCUCAACCAUCAAAAAGUUGAAUCUACAGUAAGUACGAAGAACUUGCUUUUUCCUGAAGCUGUUUUUGAGUAAGUUGCUGAUAUUGUGCUUCAGUACCCCUGAAUAUUUGCAUGUGUAUUUCCUACAAGAAGGACACAACCACAACACAACCCUCAAAAUCAGGAAAUUAACCUUCAUACCUUACCAGCAUCUCAU
rnacentral:lncRNA from 1 species